AUGAAUGAUCAGAUGACAUGCAAUUCAAUCCACAAAUGACUCUUACUCAACCAUAAACUAAACCAGAAAGAAACACCAACUAGUGGGACCCGAUUAAAGAUCCAACCAAUCACAUCCCUCCACGUGUCCCUCAUCAAACUAUUCCCUUCUCCUUUCUCUCCAACCUUUCCUCAUUUCAUCCUCCCUCCCUAGUUCAUUGAUUUCGUUUUGACGACACGCUCAAGCACUCCUGCGUUUGAUCACACUUUUUCCUGUGUCUUCUCCGGGGAAUCGUUUCUUGUCAUUUUGGCGGUUGAUUUGGCUCUGAUUAUGCAUUGUUCUCCAAGACCCAUUUGCAUUUUCAUCUGAUCUUUUCACUUGGUCACUUUGGAUUCUUCUGCAGUAUAACGGGCUUUCUUGCUUAUGGAAGAAAUGAAAAUCAAAAGUGAAGAGUGGAUAGAAAUAGAAGAAAUUACCGAAGAGAAAUAAGAUCUGUCGGUCAAGCAUACGAUCUGGCAAGGAAUACAUUCACAAUGGCUAUCUCACAAGACACAGUUAUGAUUAUCAAGUCUUACCAAAAUCAUGCAGGAGCUUUAGUUAAAAGCUAUUUACUUGCUGAUCCCUUUCUUCCAUACACUUCUGUUCUUGGUGGCAUAUUUUUCUGCAAAUUGGUUUAUGAUCUAACUCAGUACCUCAGUGCCUACUACUUCAAGAACUAUGCUAGUCUUACAAAAAUUCAACAAAUUGAGUGGAACAAUCGAGGUAUAUCCAGUGUUCAUGCGGUUUUCAUCACGACUAUGUCGUUGCACUUCGUGUUCUUGUCUGAUCUUUUCUCUGAUCAACGGCUAGCAGGAUUUAUUACAUUUCGGAGCUCACCCCUCUCUACUUUUACAUUAGGGGUCUCUGUUGGAUACUUCAUUGCUGAUCUUACAAUGAUAUUAUGGCUGUACCCUUCAUUAGGUGGACUGGAGUAUCAAUGGCCACUAGCAACACAGCCUCAUCAGUCCAGUGAGCCCCUUGGCUCUCUUCAAACCUCAAAUGCAAUCGCUGUCCCUCUGCUUGAUGCUCAGGAUAGUUAUUGCCACUACCAGAAGGACUCAUCGGAGCUCGCUGUGCUAAGCAAUACUCAAUUUCCAUUGGCGACCCCCAUCAUCCGCAACCAACAAUCAUUGAAGGCCAACCUAUUCGUUGCCUUGACGACAGAGAAUCUUCUUUGUCCUCGUACAACCUUCUUAAUCAAUCACCUGCACCCUUUGGGAACAAUCUAGGUUCAUGUUCUGUUGCUCAUUCUGGUAAUCUCUAUUUUGCCCUAUUCUCUUCGGUAGGCUCUCAAGUACUAUGGAUAAUUGAUCCGGGUGCUUCCGACCAUAUGACAGGUUUUCGUCAUUUGUUUGAUUUCUACACUUCGUGUUCUAAUAAAUCUAAUGUUCAUAUUGCUGAUGGUACUUUAUCUUCUGCAGGCAUAGGCUUCAUUAGAUUAUCUACUAGUCUUCUCCUUAAAUCAGUUCUUCAUGUUCCAUCAUUAACGUGUAAUUUGAUUUUUGUUAGCAAACUGACUUUUGAUAAUCACUGUGUUGCUAAGUUUGUGUCCAAUUCUUGUCAAUUUCAAGAACUAUCAUCGGGGAGGACGAUUGGCAGUGCUAGAAUUCAUGGACUUUAUUUCUUUUAGACUCAAUAUUCUAUAAGACACCAAUCUCAUAUAUCUAGUUCUGCUUAUGUUUCUAAUUCCAGCAAAAUAAUGUUGUGGCAUUAUAGACUUGGUCACCCAAGUUUUCCUUGCUUACAACGUUUGUUUCCAUCCUUAUUCACUAAUCAAAGUUCUGUUUCUUUUCGAUGUGAUAUUUGUCAACUUGCUAAGCAUACAUAGACCUCUUUUCCUUCAAGAUCCUAUACUCCAACGACUCCAUUCUCCCUAAUCCAUAGUGACAUAUGGGGACCCUCCAAAGUUACUACUUCUCAUGGGAAACGCUAGUUCAUAACUUUCAUUAAUGAUCACACACGCAUCACUUGGGUAUAUCUCCUUCAACACAAAUCUAAGGCAUUUCAAGUCUUUCAGAAUCUUCACCGUAUGAUUCAGACACAAUUUCAGAACAAAAUUUGUAUACUACGUACGUAUAAUGGAACAGAAUAUUUUAAUUCCACUUUAGAUCCAUACCUUUUACAAAAUGGGAUUCUUCAUCAAAGUUCGUGUGUUGAUACCCCUCAACAGAAUGGUGUUGCCGAACGUAAAAAUCGCCAUUUGUUGGAAGUAGCACGUGCUCUUAUGUUUACCAUGAAUGUUCCAAAGUAUCUUUCGGGAGAUGCUAUCUUAACAACCGCAUAUCUUAUCAAUCGUCUACCUAUUCGGCCCCUUCAGUUUCAAACACCAUACUUGGUACUAAAUCUUUCUUAUCCCCAUAUUUCCACCAAUACUCUUCCUGUAAAGAACUUUGGCUGUGUAGUUUUUGUCCAUAUCCAUGCUCAUGAUCGUAGUGAACUUGACCCUAGGGCUAUUAAGACAAUUUUUAUUGGCUAUUCUUCCACUCGAAAAGGUUAUCGGUGUUACUGUCCUCUCACUAAAAAAUGUCUCAUGCGAUGUCGGUUUUUUUGAAGAUACUCAAUAUUUUCCUUCCCCCUCGCUUCAGGGGGAGCAGACUCAUCCAGAGCAAGAAGCCCAGUGGUUGUGGGACACCUUACAGUUAGGAUUAUUGCUAGAUCUUCUGAUAGGGUAUUCCUGCCAAUUAGGUGAGUAAACAUAGCACUAAUAGAAGAAAUUCAGUAACCAAACAGAGAAGAAAAUAGAAAUUGGUAUUUAAUAGGAGUUUGAGAGCCUGUAUCUCUCCAAAUGCAACAACACUCAGCUAUUCCACACCUAAUAUAAAUGACUUACUUACUAUUUAUUCUACUACUCCUCAGGAGUACACAAACUUCCCAUACACUCUCCCAUAGACUAAACCAGCUUACAUUAACUAAUUCAAUACACUAAACCCCUGUUGUCAUAUUCUUUGCUGACUUGGCCCUCUCCACCUGUCUUCCCCCUCUCCGAGCAUACACAUAGGUCAAGGGUGGCCUAUCAAUACCCCCUGCCCAAAGACUCACCUUGUCCUCAAGGUGAAAACCAGGAAACUGCAGUACUGGAAAAUCUUCCCAAGUGGCCUAAAAUUCAGGAAGGUUAACCCAUUUGAUCAACGCUUGUGGGGAGCCUUGUGUGUGCCUAGGCGUACAUCCAGCACCUUUUUAGGUGUGAGUAUCCACUCAAGGUCAUCUGCCAACUCUGGAGGCAACUCAGAAGCUUGUUGGUGAGGUCCCAAGGCUGCCUGAAGGAGUGACACAUGAAACACUGGGUGGAUUACAGAAUCUAGAGGUAAUUUCAGGCGAUAUGCCGCUGUCCCUACACGUGCUACCAUUGGUUACGACGCCUUGACACUGACCUUUGUCGAUAUGGUCUCAACUUCACAUAAACCAAAUCCCCAACAGCAAAAUGAACAUCACGUCUCUUCUUGUCUGCUUGCAUUUUCAUCUUUUGUUGUGCUCUUUGUAGGUUCAGCUUGAGUAAUUCCAAUACUUCAUCUCUUUCCUUCAAGUUGUUCUCCACUGCUGAAACUUUUGCACUCCCAUGCUCAAAUCUCACAUCUGGAGGGGGAUCUUUGUGAUAUACUGCUAAAAAAGGUGUCAUUCCAGUAGACGUGUGGUACGAUGUAUUAUACCAAAACUCUGCCCACGACAACCAAUUUACCCACUGCUUUGGUUUUGUACUCACAAAACAUCUCAAAUAUGUCUCAAGGCACCUAUUUACGACUUCCGUUUGCCCAUCAGACUACGGAUGGUAGGCGGUACUAUGUUUGAGUUGGGUUCCUUGCAGGCGAAACAGCUCUUUCCAAAAUAGGCUCAGAAACACCUUAUCACGGUUCGACACAAUCGACCUUGGAAUCCCAUGCAACCUUACCACUUCUCUCACAAACACCGUGGUGACAGUAAUGGCUGAAAAUGGGUGGCGAAGAGGGAUGAAAUGACUAUACUUGGUAAGCCGAUCAACUACCACAAAGACUGUAUCAAAUCCGUUGGACAACGGUAAUCCCUCAAUGAAGUCCAUUGAGAUGUCUUCCCAAAUUUGCACCGAAAUGGGCAGUGGCUGAAGCAAACCGGCGGGAGAUUGGGCUACAUACUUCUUUGCUGACAUAUGACACACUCUGACACAAACCUUUGAACAUCUCUUCUCAUUCCCGCCCAAUAUUGAUUCUUUGCCAACCUCUGAAAUGUUUUGAAUACCCCAGAAUGGCCUCCCACGCUGCUGCCGUGAUAUUCCUGGAGUAAUAACGAUAUGAAUGGUGAAGAUGAUGGAAUAACCAAUCGACCUCGAAAUUUUAGGCAACCUUGAGCCAAUGAGUACCCGCCUGUAUCUCGGCCUUGCCUGAGUUCUUGGAUGAUCUUUGCUACUCUAACUCCAUCUCCUUCUCGUCCGAAUGUUUCAGUUGUCCCUGUUUCUAUUCCAACUCCUCUUCCUAAUCGUUCAGUCGUUCUUGGUUCUACUAUAGCUCCAUCUACUCUCACUCGAAAUAGUCAACCUGGUCCAAUCAUGGAAAUAAGGACAAGUCUUCCUGAGUUGAAACAACAACAAGAGCUAUGCGUCUACACUAGAAGAAAUGUCUCUCAAAGAAAUAACCAAGUCAUGAAUCCUCAUCACAGUCAAGAGCCAAAUCCGGUGAUAGAACCUCCAUCUUCAAAUGUGUCAGGUUGUCCAUCACUCACUUUCUGGAAUUGCAGUGGCAUAUUCCAUGUUUUCUGGAGAAGGGCAACUUUAUACAUUCAUGAUUCUCAUCUCUGAGAUUA